GACGAACGCUGGCGGCGUGCUUAACACAUGCAAGUCGAGCGGAAAGGCCCUGCUUUUGUGGGGUGCUCGAGUGGCGAACGGGUGAGUAACACGUGUGUAACCUGCCCUUGACUUUGGGAUAACUUCAGGAAACUGGGGCUAAUACCGGAUAGGAGCUCCUGCUGCAUGGUGGGGGUUGGAAAGUUUCGGCGGUUGGGGAUGGACUCGCGGCUUAUCAGCUUGUUGGUGGGGUAGUGGCUUACCAAGGCUUUGACGGGUAGCCGGCCUGAGAGGGUGACCGGCCACCUUAGGACUGAGAUACGGCCCAGAAUCGUACGGGCGGCAGCAGUGGAGAAUAUUACACAAUGGGCGGAAGCCUGAUGCAGCAACGCCGCGUGCGGGAUGACGGGCUUCGGGUUGUAAACCGCUUUCGCCUGUGACGAAGCGGGAGUGACGGUAAUGGGUAAAGAAGCACCGGCUAACUACGUG
rnacentral:rRNA from 1 species